rnacentral:rRNA from 1 species
GAUGAACGCUGGCGGCGUGCUUAACACAUGCAAGUCGAACGAAGCACUUUUAUUUGAUUUCUUCGGAAUGAAGAUUUUAGUGACUGAGUGGCGGACGGGUGAGUAACGCGUGGGUAACCUGCCUCAUACAGGGGGAUAACAGUUGGAAAUGACUGCUAAUACCGCAUAAGACCACAGUACCGCAUGGUGCAGGGGUAAAAACUCCGGUGGUAUGAGAUGGACCCGCGUCUGAUUAGGUAGUUGGUGGGGUAACGGCCCACCAAGGCGACGAUCGGUAGCCGGACUGAGAGGUUGAACGGCCACAUUGGGACUGAGACACGGCCCAG